UACAGAGGGUGCAAGCGUUGUUCGGAAUUAUUGGGCGUAAAGGGCGUGUAGGCGGUUUGCUAGGUCAUGUGUGAAAUCCCCCGGCUUAACCGAGGAACGACGCAUGAUACUGGCAAGCUAGAGUACCAAAGAGGGGGGUGGAAUUCCCGGUGUAGCGGUGAAAUGCGUAGAUAUCUGGAGGAACACCGGUGGCGAAGGCGGCAUCCUGGACCAACACUGACGCUGAGUGAGCGAAAGCCAGGGGAGCAAACGGG
rnacentral:rRNA from 1 species